UUUUAUGGAGGGUUUGAUCCUGGCUCAGGACUAACGCUGGCGGCGUGUCUUAGCCAUGCAAGUCGAACGGACCAAGAUUUAGUAGCAAUACUUUUUCUUGGUUAGUGGCGCACGGGUGAGUAACACGUGAAUAAUCUACCCCAAAGUGGCGGAUAACAGAUCGAAAGGUCUGCUAAUACACCAUAUGCUCACGACCUGUAAGGGUUGCGAGGAAAGGUGGCCUCUGCUUGCAAGCUAUCGCUUUGGGAUGAGUUCGCGUCCUAUCAGCUAGUUGGUGAGGUAAAGGCUUACCAAGGCGAUGACGGGUAGCCGGCCUGAGAGGGUGAACGGCCACACUGGAACUGAGACACGGUCCAGACUCCUACGGGAGGCAGCAGGCUAGAAAAUUGGGCAAUGGGCGCAAGCCUGACCCAGCGACGCCGCGUGAGGGAUGAAGGUCUUCGGAUUGUAAACCUCUGUUAGGAAGGAAAAUGGGAGUAGGUCCUAAUACGGCCUAUUUUUGAUGGUACUUCCAGAGAAAGCACCGGCUAACUCCGUGCCAGCAGCCGCGGUAACACGGGGGGUGCAAGCGUUGUCCGGAAUUACUGGGCGUAAAGGGGAUGUAGGCGGAUGAAUAAGUUAAACGUGAAAACUAAGGGCUUAACCUUUAGCCUGCGUUUAAUACUGUUCAUCUUGAGUUCGGAAGAGGAGAACGGAACUUCCAGUGUAGCAGUGGAAUGCGCAGAUAUUGGAAGGAACACCAGUGGCGAAGGCGGUUCUCUGGUACGUAACUGACGCUGAUCUCCGAAAGCUAGGGGAGCGAACAGGCUUAGAUACCCUGGUAGUCCUAGCCGUAAACGAUGGAUACUAGGCGUUUCCAUUAGGAAGUGCCGACGCUAACGCAUUAAGUAUCCCGCCUGGGGAGUACGAUCGCAAGGUUGAAACUCAAAGGAAUUGACGGGG
rnacentral:rRNA from 1 species